rnacentral:rRNA from 1 species
GACGAACGCUGGCGGCGCGCUUAACACAUGCAAGUCGAACGGAAAGGCCUGCUUUCCCUUGUGGAUUGCGGGUACUCGAGUGGCGAACGGGUGAGUAACACGUGAGUGAUCUGCCCCCAACUUGGGUCUAAGCCUGGGAAACUGGGUCUAAUUCCCGAUAGGACUGCAGGGUGGUGCCUGUGGUGGAAAACGAUUUUCUAGUGGUUGGGGAUGAGCGCGCGGCCUAUCAGCUUGUUGGUGGGGUAAUGGCCUACCACGGCGGCGACGGGUAGCCGGCCUGAGAGGGUGGACGGCCACAUUGGGACUGAGAUACGGCCCAGACGCCUACGGGAGGCAGCAGUGGGGAAUAUUGCACAAUGGGCGGAAGCCUGAUGCAGCGACGCCGCGUGGGGGAUGACGGCCUUCGGGUUGUAAACUCCUUUCGACCGCGAGGAAGCCACCUGGUUGGAAGGGUGGUGACGGUAGUGGUAGAAGAAGCACCGGCUAACUACGUG